GAUGAACGCUGGCGGCGUGCCUAAUACAUGCCAGUCGAGCGAACAGACGAGGAGCUUGCUCCUCUGACGUUAGCGGCGGACGGGUGAGUAACACGUGGAUAACCUACCUAUAAGACUGGGAUAACUUCGGGAAACCGGAGCUAAUACCGGAUAAUAUAUUGAACCGCAUGGUUCAAUAGUGAAAGACGGUUUUGCUGUCACUUAUAGAUGGAUCCGCGCCGCAUUAGCUAGUUGGUAAGGUAGCGGCUUACCAAGGCAACGAUGCGUAGCCGACCUGAGAGGGUGAUCGGCCACACUGGAACUGAGACACGGUCCAGGCUCCUACGGGAGGCAGCAGUAGGGAAUCUUCCGCAAUGGGCGAAAGCCUGACGGAGCAACGCCGCGUGAGUGAUGAAGGUCUUCGGAUCGUAAAACUCUGUUAUUAGGGAAGAACAAAUGUGUAAGUAACUAUGCACGUCUUGACGGUACCUAAUCAGAAAGCCACGGCUAACUACGUG
rnacentral:rRNA from 1 species